GUGCUCGCUUUGGCAGCAUAUAUACUAAAACUGGAGUGAUACAGAGAAGAUUAGCAUGACCCCUGCGCAACGAUGACACGCAAAUUCAUGAAGCAUUCCAUAUAUUU
rnacentral:snRNA from 1 species